rfam:Mycobacterium wolinskyi strain CDC_01 Contig_24, whole genome shotgun sequence.
UGGAAGUGCCUUUCUUGUGCUGGUCGGAUUGUUGCGUAGAGAACACCAAUCUUUCCAGCUCAGAGGGCACUUUCCUCAUUCCGACACCCCAACAACCAGCCCAUUCAUCGGUGGAUCAAG